CAGAUCUAAAGGACUGUCGGUUUGCGUCGGGCUUCGUAGUGCUCGGAGUGGCAGUUCCCGCGGCGGCUCGGGUAAACAAGCUGACGCCGUUGACCGAAGAGUGAGAUUUUGUGUAUAAACUCCUGAGAAUCGACCGUUGCUGACUUUAACAAAUAUAUUGUGACUGAAAAGGUAUCAGCAGCGUCUGCUGUUUGUCUUAAAUGUGGUGAAAUGUAAUAAAACAAGGAACACCGAAUCGGAUGAAAGGUGCCGCGGCCAUGGGCACCUCCACGUCCCAUGGCGGGGUGGUCCUCCAGCCAGGCAGCGGCAUCAUUUAUGGACGCGUACAGGCCGUGGACUUGGUCGGUGCCCUUUGAGUGCAGCCCGCACGCCUCCCUGGCACACACGGCAACGCAGGCGAGGCUCACUAUGCAGUCCAGCACGCCGAGCAGCACCAGCGCCCCAGACACCAGCACGGCGGGCCGCUGCACCAACACUUCGCCAAGCACCUCGACCUCCUCCUGCGUCUCCUGAAAUGUAAUUAAAGAACGUUAUGUGCUGCUCCCUCCGACAACACACAGAAGCAACUUAGUGCAGGAUUUAAUGAGCUGGUGUCCUCUUCUAUUUUAUCUCAUCAUGCUCCGUUACUCCACUUUGUGCAAGUCCACCGUUAUCCUGAGUUCUGGCCUUAGUAUCUAUCGGCUACCGAAGACGUAUCAUCAUAGCUGUUUCCGCCGCUGCACGCCUCCCCCUCCUGUGACCUGGAACGCAACCGGACGAAGGAACACACGCUGUGGCCCCCGUGUGAGCUGGCUGCGGAGCGCGUCGCCGCCCCCUCAACUCUGAAUGGGAGGGAGUACACGCGUAGCUUCCUAGCGGUUGUUCCUGACACUGCAACUAAACCCAGGCAUUGCAAGGGAGCGUCCGUUGUGAUCGUGUGUACGGAGAAGCUUGAUUGUAUCGUCCCCGUAUACCGAGAAAGUGUUGUCAUGUGGGACUGAUCAGGGGACAAUAAUGACUGCAAUAUCGUUGGUAUGUGUAUAGAUUUCCUUAAUGGCGAC